rnacentral:rRNA from 1 species
UACGAAGGGGGCUAGCGUUGCUCGGAAUCACUGGGCGUAAAGCGCACGUAGGCGGCUUUUUAAGUCAGGGGUGAAAUCCUGGAGCUCAACUCCAGAACUGCCUUUGAUACUGAGAAGCUUGAGUCCGGGAGAGGUGAGUGGAACUGCGAGUGUAGAGGUGAAAUUCGUAGAUAUUCGCAAGAACACCAGUGGCGAAGGCGGCUCACUGGCCCGGUACUGACGCUGAGGUGCGCAAAGCGAUGGGGCAACAGGG